rnacentral:rRNA from 1 species
CUGGCUCAGAUUGAACGCUGGCGGCAUGCUUUACACAUGCAAGUCGAACGGUAACAGGGGCUUCGGCCCGCUGACGAGUGGCGAACGGGUGAG